UACGUAGGGUGCGAGCGUUGUCCGGAAUUAUUGGGCGUAAAGAGCUCGUAGGCGGCUUGUCGCGUCGGCUGUGAAAACCUGGGGCUCAACCCCGGGCCUGCAGCCGAUACGGGCAAGCUAGAAUUCGGUAGGGGAGACUGGAAUUCCAGGUGUAGCGGUGAAAUGCGUAGAUAUCUGGAGGAACACCGGUGGCGAAGGCGGCAUCCUGGACCGACACUGACGCUGAGGAGCGAAAGCCAGGGGAGCAAACGGG
rnacentral:rRNA from 1 species